UCCCAGGGUGAGCACCUCAAGAGGAUCAGGUGGAAGAUAUAUCACCUUUUAUGGCUUAGCGUUGGAGGACACAUAAUGUUGCUUCCACUGAAGUCACAGAUCCAUCCAGUUUUAAACAAGGAACUGUUGACCCUCAUCUUUCAAUGGAGGAGUGCCAGCAUCACAUGGCAACGCUGUGUUGUGACUGCUCCAUACCCUGAUGUUCUAAGAUGACCAACGCCUCCAGCCCUAUGCACAUAUUGAGAGAGAGAGACAGCCAGCAAGAGAGGUAACACAAGCAAGGGGAGUGGGAG